UUUUCUCUGAAUGGGACUUCUACUGCCACUUUAAUUCAAGGAAAGUUCCUAAUAGUUCCGCUUUGACGGUUUCGACGAAUUAUUCGAAGAAUUUAACUUCUGGUUCUGGUUCUUGAGGUGGUUUGAGAAGCAGGUUCCUUUAAUUGAUGCUUCUUCUACCUUUGUUCAUGUGGAGAGAAACGUUUAUGCAAAGGCUUCUGAGUUGUUCAAAAGAGAUCAUAGUUAUGUGAGCAAGUCUAAGUCUAAAUUCUAUCCGACGGGUAUGGAAUUGAACUGAAUUUUGCACCCAAACCCCAAAUAAUGGAUUCAUCCUUAAAAUCCACAACUGUUGCAGAAGUAGCUGGUGGAACGAUUCCACUCGCCAUAUUUGGGAACACACUCGGCGGCGACAUCGAGAAGUGACUUAUUCCAGAAGUUGCAAGGGAGUUGAAGUUUUCUGCAAAGCUACUUUCAUAUGUAUCUCAACUUGUAUGUCACCAAAUUAAUGUUAUUGGCUGUGUGUUGUCUCCAAACAGGAUUCAAAUCAAAAUAUUUAUAAAAAAAUGGAAGCUGCCCAAUUGAUUUCUCAAGAGUGGGAUUCUCUUAGUGGACACUACACAGCUGAGGAAGUUGAUUUCAUGACUCACUUCCUUGGUGGCAAUACUAACUAUUCUUAUUUUCCUUCAAAUGUUGCAAAUGCUAAUUCUAUGUGUUUCUCCCAAGGGAGUAGCACAAACACUGCUAAUAGUGCUGAUAUAUUUUCCACCAACACAAAUCCUGGCAUCUACUUCUCGGAUCCGACAAUAAACAAUAUUGGAUCAAGCUACAUUGAAUAAACUGAAAAUACUCGUGCGGCCAAUCCUAUUGAGUACAUUCCAAAUGCAAAGCUACCAUGUGUUGGACCUCAUCCAAAGAAUGUCAUUCUUUUGGCAUGUGAUGCAUUUGAUGAGUGUAUAUUCGAGCUAGGUUUCGGUUUUAAUGCCUGGAGAUGUGAUUCCUACAUUUAUUGCUCACCCUGCUCCAUGUUGUCCGGAACGGAUUGUGGCCUUCUCAUCAACAUAACACGUUACCUUGUUCGACUUCGAACACGAGGCCUAGUAAUAUCAAUGAAGUCUGAGGAGUCUAAAUCAAUGUGACAAAGUUUCCCAUAUUGCUUCAUCAAAGGGGUUGAUAUGCAUUUUUAACUAGAUGAUGAUUUCUUCUUACAUGUAAUAUAGGAUUUAGUUUAGGUUUUGCAAUUGGAGUACAAGAUCGAUUUCUGUCUAAACUUGUUUUCUUUUGAUGAAUGUUGGAAGGUACAAGAUUUCUCUUUACUUUUCUAAGUUUGAUUUGCAUUAAUUCACAAAUGAUAUGUGUGUUUCUAUCAUCUCCUUCCAAAGGCUAAUAUUCACUACUGAGAUUUGCAU